CAAUAGCGUAUAUUUAAGUUGUUGCAGUUAAAAAGCUCGUAGUCGGAUGUCGGGCUCGGGCAGGCUGUCGGCUUCGGUCGGACGGCAGGCUCGGGUCUUUCUGCCUGAGGAUCCCGUUGCACUUAAUUGUGGGGCGUGGGGACGCAGGCCGUUUACUUUGAAAAAUUAGAGUGUUAAAGCAGGCCUUCGCCUUGAAUACAUUAGCAUGGAAUAAUAAGAUAGGACUUUGGUCUAUUUUGUUGGUUUGCAGACCGAAGUAAUGAUUAAUAGGGAUAGUGGGGGUAUUUAUAUUCCGAUGUCAGAGGUGAAAUUCUUAGAUUUUCGGAAGAUAAACUUAUGCGAAAGCAUUUUACCAAGGAUGUUUUCAUUAAUCAAGAACGAAAGUUAGGGGAUCGAAGACGAUUAGAUACCA
rnacentral:rRNA from 1 species